rnacentral:rRNA from 1 species
UACGGGGGGGGCAAGCGUUGUUCGGAAUUACUGGGCGUAAAGGGCUCGUAGGCGGCCAACUAAGUCGGACGUGAAAUCCCUCGGCUCAACCGGGGAACUGCGUCCGAUACUGGAUGGCUUGAGUUCGGGAGAGGGAUGCGGAAUUCCGGGUGUAGCGGUGAAAUGCGUAGAUAUCCGGAGGAACACCGGUGGCGAAGGCGGCUUCCUGGACCGACACUGACGCUGAGGCGCGAAAGCUAGGGGAGCAAACGGG